AUGCCAUCGAAGGGGAAUAAGAAAUUAACACAAUGAGAAACCUACAGCAAAAAGACAACUCUUCUCUUCUGAUCUACAGUGAAUACAUAUUCCCUUUCUGUACAGGGCACCUACUAUAAGUCUGUAAAUAUGGGCUAAUACCACUAAUUUCUGAAACCCUUUUUUACCAUGGACCAGUUUGUGUCCGUCUUAAGCAUCGCCUUUUAGCUCCCUUUUGAAGGUUCAUCAUUUCCAUAACCUGAUUCUUCUGCAUUUCUAACAUUUCUUCCUGUUUCUUUUGAAGUUCAUCGUUUUCUUCUUUUAGUUUCGCGACUUCUGCUUCUAGCUCCA
rnacentral:misc_RNA from 1 species